CCCUUAGAUGUUCUGGGCCGCACGCGCGCUACACUGAUGCAUUCAACGAGCCUAUCCUUGACCGACAGGUCCGGGUAAUCUUUGAAUCUGCAUCGUGACGGGGAUAGAUUAUUGCAAUUAUUAAUCUUCAACGAGGAAUGCCUAGUAGGCGCAAGUCAUCAGCUUGCGUCGAUUACGUCCCCGCCCUUUGUACACACCGCCCGUCGCUCCUACCGAUUGUGUGUGCUGGUGAAAUGUUCGGAUCGGCCGUUUGUCGCGGUUUCCGCGUCAUGUGGCUGAGAAGUUCAUUAAACCCUCCCACCUAGAGGAAGGAGAAGUCGUAACA
rnacentral:rRNA from 1 species